UAAUCCAGGCAUUUUCAGAAGCCUAUUCUAUUUUGGAGGAUGAGCUUAGUUGCCUAUCAAGUAACACUGAUUCAUCAUGUAACCCACCAUGUAGAUUGCUUCAAAAAAUCAUCCCAAGUAUCACUUUAUCAUAGUGGCUUAGUUUGAGGAAUCUUCACUAAAGCUGAAGUCCUCACCCCAAUGGGAGCAUUGGGUCUUGAUUAUUUACUGAAACUCCCUUUGGAAUGUGCUCCAUGUUGAUCAUUUUUCUAUUAUGCCAACCCAUAGUUUGGCUCAGAGAUAUUAUAGCCUCAAUCAACUUUUGGUGUGAUGCACAGCCAAUCUUGCAAUUGAUCAUUCCAAGUAAAGGAUGCUCCGAUUUAGUUCAAAAUUGAUUGUGCUACUUUAUGGUUCGAAGUAAAAAUGAAAGGGUGAAUAUGUA